CCGUGCAUUUGCCCAGUCGACCCAGUUUCCACAAACUGCCGGCAUACGAUCCUCCAGGUCGACAAAUCCGGCGACCACCGGCGACCCGCCGCUGCCGCCCGGAGAAUCCAUGCCCAAGCGCCCCCCCCCCCCCCCCCUUCCCCAGCCCCUUUCGACGACCCCAGCUCCGGCGGUCCCGAAUUCCAGGCGGCGCUCGUGGAAAGUCCCGACGGGAGCUACGCGUGGGGCUCUUCCCGGUGGAUUACGACGCGUCCACGAGCUACUGCGCGGCGUUUUCCAUGGAGAGCCUGCCGUCGCCGCGGUUCCUCUCCUCCAUCCGGCAGGGAACGAGCGGGUGGCGUACCAGGCCGCGCGAACACGCUCGAACUUGGUGGAUCCGUUAGAAGUCUGUGCCAUACACUGCCACGGUGUUGUUGUGGUCGGCGAGAAGUGGUGGCGGCAUGAGCGGUGAGUGAACUCCACCGGUCGUGAGCGGGUUCCCGUGGCUUGCGGCUUGCUGCUUGGCCUCGUCCGCCAGCGGCACUGGGAGGCUUCGCAGUGGGCCGGCAUCGGGUGGGCUUCUCGCCGUUCUCGGCAGGCGGUAGGCGGCGUGUAGGUGCGCCGGUCGUCCUCAACGUCAAAUUACGGCAGCGAUUUUUCUUGCUGCCGGCGGCGGUCCGCGGCCAUGGUUUGGAUCUUCCUCAUCGGUGUGUUUCAGUAUUCUUUUCCUUUCCAUCAAUUUUGUUCAGCAGUUUCUGUAGCCUUGUGGUGAAUUGGAUAGUAGAGGUUAGUUUAGUCCGUCCAGCACCAACGUUGAGCAGUGGAGAAGCAGUAGUAAUUUCCUGAGCCAGUCCCCAACCACGUUUGUUGAAAAUAAGCAGUGUAGCAUAUUUUGUUUUUUUUCCAAAUUGUUUUGUAUUUUUCCUGGAUUUGUAAGAGGGCAAAGUAGGCAGCGAGCAGGCAUUAGUGCUCCAGCAAUGACCCUAAGAUCCAAUACUAUUUUGUUCGUAUCUGUUUGCAUUUUCCACAGAAAGAUCUUAGCUGUAUUUAAGCAAUGGCUCUAGGAUCAAAUCCACUCCAUGGAUCAUAAUUGUCAAAACGUGUUAGUAUAGGCUCUAGUGAUUCGUAAUUUUGUUAUCUUGAUCGCCAGACUUUUAUGUCAAAGUCAGUCUGAUCAUAACAAAAUAAUUGGCUAACUUGUGCCAAUUUAACAAUUGGCAGGAUUCCAGAGAAAUAAUUACUGAUGGUUGUGUUUUCAGUCACAGUUAGGCUUCUUAAUUACGGAGGGUUGUGUUUUGGAUAAAAAUACUUGAUCUUGCAAUAUGGGGACAAACAAAAAAAGAUGUUUUUUUGUAGUGUUUUCGUGGUGUCCUGCCCUGUGAUAUGGCAGCAGUCUGACUUUAUUAGGACUGAAGUUCAAUGGACUCUAUGUAUUGUUAAAUGCCAACCUACUGCUGUCUUGUCUUUCUGAAAUAAUUAAUAUUUAAUUUUAUACCUUCAGUGCUAGUGUUGCCUGACGUGAAUUUCCAUUUCGAUUGCGUGCAAUUGUUGAUUGAACUAGGUGGAAAUGUCUCAGCUGUGACGUUACCCUACAUAGCUACAUCAAAUUUGUUAGGCAAGUGGUGGUUCUUAGUUCACAUGUUAUGCAGUAACUAGUCGUAGGUACAUUCUUCUAGAAUGUGCUAGCAGGUUGACACUCAAUUGAAACGGGAAACACUCUGUUGUGUAGUUACUUUCUAUUAAGGUGUGCACAUACUUAAGAUGCUAGUAUAGCCCGAGUAGGAAUUGGUAGCGCAGCAGUGAUUUACUUUCAGUUAAGUUGUGUAAUGCUGCAUGUUGUUCAAAGUCAAUUUUACUUUUCGGAGUAAUACAGAACAUGAAAUGUAGGUAUGCUCAUUAAGUUCAGCAUAUUUUGUUCAGUAAUCCUAUUUGCAAACCCUUCAAAGAUGAAAUUUGUUGUCGUAUGGUACUUGCAAAUCCGUUUAUUAUGUUUCCUUCUGUUGAAAAAAAAGAGUUGGUCUGUAAUUUUUAACUAAUUCCGUUUGUAGG